GCGUGUCUUUGGGUUUUAUAUCGAUCAUUAUUUAUCAUCCUACAUUGCACUCAGGCAUAUGUGCUAACAGUUACACUGGCAUCACAAGUAUGAACAAACUCAUCCAAAUAUUAGCUUUUUUGUAUUCAGCUUACUAAUCGGGCCUAUGAUUUAAAGCUUCUAUAUAUUCAGAUUAGUGUUUGUACUUCUCAGACAAAUUUAAUAGUAUUUCAGAAUAUUAAUGGUAUCAUAUAUGGUUUUUGCCUAUUUUUACUAUACUAAAUAAUCAACGUGCACUGCUCUUACAUCCCCUUCCUGUUUUCAGGUUGUUGAUGCGUAUAUGAUGAACCGAACUCUAAAUGAGAAGGGAUACAAUGCAUAUGCCUUCUCCAUUCCUUCAGGGAAGGAGUUUCUGUCCAUACUUAGUCUUUCUGCUCCUGUAUUUGUGACAUUGAUGUUGAAGGUGGCUUUCUACUAUCUACUUAUAUAUUUUGCUACAUCAAUGAGUACACAUAAAAUGGUUGCUUAUAAAGUUAGUUUUUCUCUGAAAUCUGGAAGUGAAAUAGUGAUGAGUUAUUACGUUUAACUUUUUAAAUCUGGUUUUUUGUUCUAUUUGUAGGUUAGUGAUUGGUUCGUCACAGGUCAGUGUUUGUUUUGUUUGUAUCACAGGAAAUGUUUUUUCCUUUGGAGAAUCGAGGGCUUUAACAAGUGCGGGAAAGUUCGGCUACUAAAAGAUUCACCGGCGGGCUACAAAAAACUAUUACCAAUUUCAUUACUUCAGGAUAAGCCAAUAGGAAAAAGAAUUCAUUUUCAGAUUUUACAAAUAAUUACUUUCUCAGUGAUACAGCAACUGAUUUGGAUAAGUCUUUCGUCGGUGUUUGCCUUCAAUGCCCGAAUCAACCAAAUAACCGCACAUGUUAAACCAUGUUUUGCGAUAAUGAUGCAGGGCAAAACCGAGUCAUACAACUGAUGUACCGAAUGAUCUCGGGGCUGAACAGGGUCAUACAAAUGUUAUACUGAAUGAUGCAGGGGCAAAACCGAGUCCUACAGCUGAUAUACCGAACAUUGUAGGUACUGGCUGAAGGCAAAACCGAGUCCUCAGAUUCAUGGAGGUUCUGGUGAAAUUGAUGUAUUUGCGAUUCAGGCAGCGAAGUUGGGCAGAUCGAGAGUAAUUGUUGUUGCAGGUGAUGAAGAGAGGCUAUCUUAUUGCGAGAGUAUGGGAAGCAAUUGUUCCACAAAAUAUGCACCCUCAAUAACCUUUUUUUUCUUCAACUGCUCUUCAAGGAUCAUUGUGCUUAGAUUAAUCUGAUUUUCUCUCCCUGCCUCUAUGCAUAUGGAUUCUCUUGCACUCUGAUGCUGGUCCAAGGAUUGCUUCAGUGGCUGGAAU